UACGUAGGGUGCAAGCGUUAAUCGGAAUUACUGGGCGUAAAGGGCUCGUAGGCGGCCAACUAAGUCGGACGUGAAAUCCCCAGGCUCAACCUGGGAACUGCGUCCGAUACUGGAUGGCUUGAAUUCGGGAGAGGGAUGCAGAAUUCCAGGUGUAGCGGUGAAAUGCGUAGAUAUCUGGAGGAAUACCGGUGGCGAAGGCGGCAUCCUGGACCGACAUUGACGCUGAGGAGCGAAAGCUAGGGGAGCAAACGGG
rnacentral:rRNA from 1 species